CGUACGGAAUCCGUACGGUUUCCGUACGAUUUCCGUACGGUUUCCGUGCGGUUUUGCACUUUCACCGCGCCAUUCUAGGGCCGGAUUGUGGCCUUCUUGGCUUUCCAUAUACGAAUGCAGCCUUCUUUUCCCGGAUUUGAAGGAUGCAUCGGCUGUAUCCUUCACGGCCCAACGUAUCCCAAGAUCCUUCACGGCCCAACGUAUCCCUCCCAAGAUUCAUUGCGCACUCAAUCAAUGGAGAUGGCGGAGAAUGGCGAUUUAAGUUUUGCACUUAAAUCAGCAUACUGCUCGAUUUAUUCUAUUGAGGGGGAGAAUGAUGAGCUGUUCACUGGGGUGAAAUACUCAGCAAGUGUGGCUUGGGGGAUUGCAAGUAUCCUGGGUCAGGAGAGGGGGUAGGUGGGAAACCCACAGCUGCCACUUGGCCCUGGUUUGUCCCCAUGGAUGAGGUAUUGGGACAGAGGCAUUCCAUCAACCCCCCUGUCCUAAUUGCCUCCAUCCCUGAGAACACACCAGGGCCAAUUACAGCAAGUACAGCAGUGGUGGAUCAGGAGGUGGAGGACAAGGAUCAGGAGGAGGAAAGACAGCGAGGGCCAAGGUCCAGAAAGAGGGACAGAGGAAGACAUGUUCCAGAGUCGCUCACUAUCUUCCGAAAAGGACUCAAGACUCACCUGUUCAGAGUCCACCUCAACUCUGCAUAGCCACCCUCCCCCUUCUGGCCACCAUUGUACACUGUGUUGUAUUGUAUUGCAUUGUAUUAUAGUACUUAACUGUGUAGCAACUGCAGUAGCUGCUAUCAUGGCUGUAACAUGGGGAAUUGAUUAGCCUAGCGAUUGUGAUACUUGCACUUGGUUCUAUGAACAUCCUUUCUGUACCGACAGCGAUAUAUUGAUGCACUUCUUAUGACAAAUGUACUUAUUGUAAGUCGCUUUGGAUAAAAGCGUCUGCUAAAUGCCCUAAAUGUAAAUGUAAAAUGUAAAUGUUCCAGUUAAUAAAAGAGGACAUGAGGCUACAAAGUGAGGCAGAGGAGAGAAGAGUCCAGGAGAGCAGGGAAAGAAUGGAUAGGUUUUUCUCAAUUUUGGAGCGUUUGGUGGACAAAUAACUUAUGUUCUGUUACAUUUAACACAUUGAUUAUUAUUAUUUACAUAUUUAUUGAAACU
ensembl:lncRNA